GGUCUGGAUACCGGAAACUGGCCUGAAUGCCACAAGUUGCAUCGACCUGAACGUCGGAAACUUCUUCGAUCUGAACAUCGGAACACUGGCAUGAAUGCCACUUCGGUCUGGAUACCGGAAAACUGGCCUGAACGCCACUUCGGUCUGGAUACCGGAAAACUUCAUGCCUGUCAGCAUCGGCAGAAAUAGGGAAUGAUAAUAGAGGCGGCGCAUGGGCCAAUGACACAAAGUUAAGUCAUGAACAAUCUUCAGUCUGAGUACUGGAAACAACUUCUAGCUUAUCACCUGGGAUACCGAGAAUGUUUUAUGUUUACAUGCAUAUGUUUGAAUUUUUCAAUGGCGUAAUGCUCCAUGAAAAUGGAAAUGCUACGCGAUUUGGAAGGAUGCAAUGCAAUAUGAUUCUACAUGCA
rnacentral:lncRNA from 1 species